CGCACGCGCCGCUUGCGCGCUAACCUUGCAGUGGAGCGGAGAGAACGUCCCUUAACAGGGUCUGCUGCAUUAGUAUCUGCUUUCCUGGUGAAAUAGCGAACAGGCAGGCCACCUCUUAGUGCAAGGCCAGGCUCACUGCUGCUCACAUCUGCCUGUUGGAGAACUUCUGUGGUCACUGCAGCUCACCUGAUGGAAGGCUUUUGUCACCGAAGUAGGGAGGGCAUCUGGUUUGGCACCUCCAGGAAGCCACCCUGAUUGCAGGAUUUCCAGGCUUCUCCUACGUGUAAAUCAUCAAUAAACACGACAUGACAAUUAAGAAGGAAAAAACACUCUUGAGUGAGAGAUAGCAGAAACAAAUGGCAAAACCAAAUCUCCAAAGCCCUCAGAUACUGGAAAUGUCUGCUUUCGUUUGAAUAAGAAAUGUAUUCUUCCACUCAUUUUGUAGACCUAGAAAGUAAAAUUGAUCUCUUCAGUA